UUUUAUGAAAUUUCUCAAAAUCAUGAAAACAUGAAAAUUUGUCAACUAUAUUAAUUUUUUUGAAAGUAAUGUAUUUAUUUAAAUUUUGUUAAAGAUUUUAGUAGAAUAUUCUGGAAUGGUUAGAGAGGACAUUAAGGAGCUAAGGCCUAAGAGAAUUCUUACAAUUUGUAAGUUUGUUGUGAAAAGUGUUUAAAUAUAGACAUUUUAAAUUAAAAUUUAGACGAAAUUAGAUAUUUAAUAGAAGAAUAAUAAUUGUACUUAUUUUUUUGUAAUUUAAAAAUUUUAAUUAUGGAUACUUGAAACGUUCAACGUACCUAAGUUUAUUAUUAUGUUUUAUACACAAUGACAUUUUCAUAUUCUUAUUAAAUAGUAAAAUAAAUUACUUUAAUAGCAAUAUAAAUAAAUUAUAAAAUUUCCUUGUAAUACAGGCGAAUAAAUCAUCUACGUUUAGAAUCAUUUUUCGUAUACGAUGAUUUAUCAUUACAUCCAAAUUUAGCACAUAUAUUACAAUUACUUACUUCUCAAUGGACAAUGGCGGGAUAUAAUCGACACCCUCUUUUUUAAAUGUAUUCACUACUUUUCCCGUAUAAUGUUGACAUAUUAUAAAUAUAUUAAGCCCCAACUCUUAAAAUAAAUGCAUAAAUACAUGCAUAUAGGAGAUUUUCAUAAAAUGUACACAAUAACUUGUUAACUUAUAAUAUAACUAUACUAUAAUGAGAUAACAUUGUACAAAUUUGAAUUUACCGCCAUUUGAUGAAAACGAUAGAAUACAGUAACAUUUACCUAACUUUUACAACCUGGUAUUCGAAUUGUAUUAUUUGAUAAUGCGCAUGCGUAAUGCGUAUUAUAUUCUGUGCAACAGCGCGUUCUACGACGUUGAACGUACGCGGUCUCGGUGGUGGUAGUGCGGUACGCCGGUAGUCGGUACCCACGGAGCGCCAUUUUAUGCGUUACAGUCGCUUCACCAAGUCGUGUGUUUCCGACAUUUGCGCACCACAAUGGUGGCUUACCACGGACUAGGAUAAACUUCUAUCUUAGUCCGUGGUAACCUAUCUAAUUAUUCACGAUGCCGAUGCCACAGACCGUUGUCCAUAGGAUGAAGAUUGAGUGACCACUGCAGACCUAAAAUCACACGGGCUGUCGACCCGGCACUCCCCAACGGGUCCGCCGCCAUGACAGACCCGUUGUCCAUUGACCACGUGUUUUUCAUUUUCGAAUAAUGUCAAACGGACCGAUCACCCGCUAUGAAUAUUGCCGCAUCGCGUGUCACGUCUGACUGUGCGUAACAUCAAAUGAAUCAUGGAUGUUUUUGUCACGGCGGUGUUCCCACGGUUUUUGGAAGUACGCGAAUCUUUGGACGUUUUUGUGGCUUGAUGUCUGCACAAAAGAAAUGAUGAUAACCAGCAAAACGCGUCAUGGUACUAAGAUGGUUUUAGCCUACAUUUCUACCUGAUGUUGUGGAUAUAAGUCGUGAAGAUGGAAGCAGAUCGGAGUACUUCCAUGAGACGUGGGAACAGUGUUGGAUGAGAAGUUCUAUUACCUAUUUGAUUUGUAACUCAUUGGUCAAAUAUAGCCAUUCGAAGCAGUGAUAUCCAUAGAGGGAGACCGGACCAAUUGACUUAUUCAGAGUGUACGCAAAUUCUAAUGUUUACAAUAAAAAAAUUUUAAUUUGUUUUGAAAUAGUGCUUUUGAUAAAUAAACAACUAUUUAAUAUAUUUCUCA